ensembl:lncRNA
UGAAAAACAGAAUGCAUAGUCGAUUUAAAAAACUGGAUGAUGAGUAAUUUCUUACUGCUGAAUUAUGAAAAAACAGAGGUGUUAAUUAUCGGACCUAAAACCUCUGCAUGAAAUAACCUAGAACACUGUCAAAGAAUCGAUGGCUGCUCUGUCAAUUCUUCGUCAUCAGUUAGGAACCUAGGUGUGCUAUUUGAUACCAAUAUUUUCUUUGAAAGCCACGUUUCUAGCAUUUGUAAAACUUAAUUUUUCCAUCUCAAAAAUAUAUAUAAAUUACGACCUAUGCUUUCAAUGUCAAAUGCAGAAACGUUAAUUCAUGUGUUCAUGACCUCAACGUUUGAUUAUUGUAAUGCUUUAUUUGGGUGCUUUUUCUGCACGCUUAAUAAACAAACUCCAGCUGGUCCAAAAUGCAACAGUUAGAAUUCUUACUAGAACCAGGAAGUAUGACCAUAUUAGCCCAGUUCUGUCAACACUGCACUAGCUUCCUAUUAAACAUCGUAUAGAUUUAAAAAUCUUGCUUAUUACUAAUUACACUAAUAUUGGUCUGUUUCUUUCUUAUUCCAAGGUUAUCGUAGCCACCAGAUCCAGUCUGUAUCCAGAUCAGAUGAUCACUGCAGUCACCCGGAUCCAGUGCGUAUCUAGUCCAGAUGGUGGAUCAGCACCUAGAGAUGACCUCGACAGCCCUGAAUACACCGGCAAUGCUGACAGUGUUCCCAUAGCGCCCUCUAGAGGACGCAGCGUGAAGUUCCCUUUCGAAAGGGAACCAGGACAACUAGAUGCGCCCCAGAGACAGAUCCCCAGUAAAGACCUUGUCUCCUAGACGGCCACCAGGACAAGACCACUGGAAUCAGAUGAGUCCUUUGCACAAUGUGACUUUCCUGCAGCCUGGAAUUGAACUGCUUGUUUUGUCUGGUCAGAGGAGAACUGGCCCCCGACUGAGCCUGGUUUCUCCCAAGGUUUUUUCUCCAUUCUGUCACCGAUGGAGUUUUGGUUCCUUGCCGCUGUCGCCUCUGGCUUGCUUAGUUGGGGACACUUCAUUUCCAGCAAUAUUGUUGACUUGAUUGCACAGAUAAUAUUUAAACUGAACUGAGCUGGAUGAUGACAUCACUGAAUUCAAUGAUAAACUGCCUUUAACUGAAAAUUUAGUGUUUACUAUUGUCAUUUUUUAUUAUUGACACAUUAUUUUCCUAUUUAAUUGGAAUUUCCUAUUCCAAGCUGUAUUGUUAAAAGCACUAUUGACUUUACUUGACUUGACUAUUAGUAUAUUGAUCUAUAUACAAAGAUCAAUGGUUUUGCACAAAAUUACUUUAUCUUGUUGGAGUUUAGUGCUGUUUCUAAAGCAUGUUACUUUCUACCGGGUGUCUGUUAGAUCACUACACUGGAGUAGAGAGCACUAUAAAUUGUUCUUCAUGCGCACAGUAAUUGAAAGUUAAAACUGUUUAAAAAAGUCUCAAUAAACUAUCGUACAGAUAUAAUA